GUUUCAGCAUCUAAAAUUAGUAACUUUCCACUCUCCGUUUUACAACAUCACUUAUAUUCCCUGACAACAAUUUAGACGGCAGCAGUAUCCCAUUACACACAUAACCAUAAUGAAACAUAUAAAAAACACGAAAACAAUACCGCAGAUAACAAGGGGUAUAUAAAUUUCAGCGAAAAACGUAAUUAAACUCAUUAGAAAAUUUUGAUGUCACAAAUAUAUUUCAUAAAUAAUAAUACUGAGAAUUUUUGGAAUUUCUACACAAAUUUUUGCCCGCUAAUCUAUAAAAUUAAAACAAAAAAUUUGGAAAUAAUUUAGAAUUCUGCAAAAUUCGGUAAUAACUUGGAUCAAAAUGCAUAAUGCGACUGGACUAAGGACAUUAACAACAGAAACACCAUCAACACGUGGUGCAAGUAAUUUUACAAAAAAAUUGCUAAUAGGUUUAGGAAUAGUGCUUGCUAUAUUCUUUUUGUGCUGCUGUUGCAUUUUGCUAAUACUGUGCAGCCCUGUUCUUGGACUUAUGAGUUGUUGCGCUAUGUGUUGCGAUGCUGAUGAGGAUCUAUUUUAAUCUUUCGCUUAAUAAGGCGUUGAGAAUUCCAUACAAACCAUUGUUUUAUCUGUAUUAACCAGGAUAUGUCUGUACCUGGACCCUUUAAUAUUUAUACAAGAAAAUAUAUAAUCGUUAUAGCUGCACGUA